rnacentral:rRNA from 1 species
GCAAGUCGAGGGGUAACAUUAGUGCUUGCACUAGAUGACGACCGGCGCACGGGUGCGUAACACGUAUGCAACCUACCUAUAACAGGAGAAUAGCCCCGAGAAAUCGGGAUUAAUACUCCAUAGUAUUUAUGAAAGGCAUCUUUUAUAUCUUAAAGAUUUAUCGGUUAUAGAUGGGCAUGCGGACUAUUAGUUAGUUGGUAAGGUAACGGCUUACCAAGACUAUGAUAGGUAGGGGUUCUGAGAGGACAAUC